UACGAAGGGGGGCUAGCGUUGUUCGGAAUUACUGGGCGUAAAGCGCGCGCAGGCGGUCCUUCAAGUCAGAGGUGAAAGCCCAGAGCUCAACUCUGGAAUGGCCUUUGAGACUAGAGGACUUGGGUACGGGAGAGGGUGAGUGGAAUUCCGAGUGUAGAGGGUGAAAAUUCGUAGAUAUUCGGAAGAACACCAGGUGGCGAAGGCGGCUCACUGGCCCGUUACCCGACGCUCAGGCGCGACAGCGUGGGGAGCAAACAGG
rnacentral:rRNA from 1 species